UACGGAGGAUGCAAGCGUUAUCCGGAAUGAUUGGGCGUAAAGCGUCCGCAGGUGGCUGUGUAAGUCUGCUGUUAAAGAGUCUAGCUCAACUAGAUACAAGCAGUGGAAACUACACGGCUAGAGUACGUUCGGGGCAGAGGGAAUUCCCGGUGUAGUGGUGAAAUGCGUAGAUAUCGGGAGGAACACCAGUGGCGAAGGCGGCUUUCUGGUCUGUUCUUGACGCUGAGGCGCGAAAGCUAGGGUAGCAAACGGG
rnacentral:rRNA from 1 species